CUACGGGUGGCUGCAGUGGGGAAUAUUGCACAAUGGGCGCAAGCCUGAUGCAGCCAUGCCGCGUGUAUGAAGAAGGCCUUCGGGUUGUAAAGUACUUUCAGCGGGGAGGAAGGGAGUAAAGUUAAUACCUUUGCUCAUUGACGUUACCCGCAGAAGAAGCACCGGCUAACUCCGUGCCAGCAGCCGCGGUAAUACGGAGGGUGCAAGCGGUAAUCGGAAUUACUGGGCGUAAAGCGCACGCGGGCGGUUUGUUAAGUCAGAUGUGAAAUCCCCGGGCUCAACCUGGGAACUGCAUCUGAUACUGGCAAGCUUGAGUCUCGUAGAGGGGGGUAGAAUUCCAGGUGUAGCGGUGAAAUGCGUAGAGAUCUGGAGGAAUACCGGUGGCGAAGGCGGCCCCCUGGACGAAGACUGACGCUCAGGUGCGAAAGCGUGGGGAGCAAACAGGAUUAGAUACCCUGGUAGUC
rnacentral:rRNA from 1 species